CACAUAAUCUCCCUGCAAAAUGAAACAAAAUGUCAUUUUAACAAAUAGGGGUCCAUGCACUCGUUUUCAAAUUAAAUCAGUUUGAAUGAUAAAAAAUAGUAGAAAAAUGCAUCUUUUCCCGAUAUGUCAUAGUUUGACGUCGCGAAAAUAACAUUUUACGUUAGCAACGUCAUUACCUCCCCUGUAACUGUAUCGUAUGCCCUUAAGGGGGUAGACCUUGGUUCAGGGAGAUAACUCUUUAAAUCAGUUAAGCGUUUGUAAAAGUCAAGUUAAUCCAUGUAUUUUAAGCAUUUACCUGAAACAGAUUGAUAAUAAUCUAUGUAACCUAGAAGCUUAGAAUAUAUUUUUGAAAAUGGUUGACACAAACGUACUGAUGAUUUUAAGAGUUAUUUCCCUUAACCUAGGUCUACCUCCUUAAUUCC
rnacentral:lncRNA from 1 species